UGUAAUUAUUAAUGCCGGGAAUAUUUUUAAAAAAGAAGAAGAAGAAGAAGAAGAAGAAUCUUUCAUCACUCUCCAUCCACCACUGUACACUAGUAUUCUUUUUCCGCCACAUUUGCAGUAGCAUUACUUCCAUUUUUCCUUCUCAUUUCUGAAUCUGUUGCUUUUUACUGUUACAAACCAAUCUUCAAAAAUGAAAGUAAUUCCCAAACUCAAACUUCCAAAAAAAUCUCCCAAAAUCCUCAAUCCCCCCCCACCUAAUAGAUCAUCAUACUCUAAGAAUAAUAAUAAUGAGAAUUUGAAUGAAACCCAUUUCAUAUCUCUAAUUCACACUUGUAAAAACACCCUUCAACUCCAAAAAAUCCAUGCCCAAAUCAUUCGCCAAAACUUAUCAUCAAAUAGCAGAAUCAUUACUCAGCUGAUAUCUUCAGCUUCUUUACGUAAAUCCAUUGACUAUGCAUUGUCUAUUUUUAAUUAUUUUCGUGGCCCGAAUUUGUAUUUGUUUAAUGCUUUGAUUAGAGGAUUGAAGGAGAACUCUUGUUUUGAAAAAUCAAUUGGAUAUUUUAAGCUAAUGCUUAAGAUGGGCGUUAAGCCUGACAGGCUAACGUACCCGUUCGUGUUGAAAUCAUUAACGGCAUUAGGUGAAAAAGGAGUUGGUGGGAGUGUGCAUUGUGGUGUUUUAAAGAUGGGAUUGGAGUAUGAUGUGUUUGUGAGGGUUUGUUUGGUUGAAAUGUAUGUGAAAAUUGAGUUGGUGGAGUUUGCACUCCAACUGUUUGAUGAAAGUCCUGAGAGAAAUAAGGCUGAGAGUGUGCUUUUGUGGAACGUCGCGAUUAAUGGGUGUUGUAAGACUGGACAGGUGAGUAAGGCGUUGGCGUUGUUUGAGGAAAUGCCUGAGAGGAAUGCAGGUUCUUGGAAUACUUUGCUUAGUGGGCUGUUGAGGAAUGGGGAAGUGGAUAAAGCGAUGGAACUUUUUGAUGGGAUGGUGGAAAAGAAUGUGGUUUCUUGGACUAGUAUGAUUCAUGGAUUAACACUAAAUGGGUUGCACCAAAAGGCUCUAGAUUUGUUUUUCAAGAUGGUGGAAGAAGGUACGAAGCCGAAUGGUUUAACUGUUGUAUCUGCACUUUCUGCUUGUGCAAAAACCGGGGCACUAGAGGCAGGGAGAAAGAUUCAUGAAAAUAUUUCGAACAAUGGGCUCCAUUUGAACGUAGCGGUUGGUAAUGCUUUGCUUGAUAUGUAUGCGAAAUGCGGGUAUAUUGAGUCUGCAAGCCUGGUUUUUAGUGGAUUGAAGGAAAAGGAUAUUCGUACGUGGAGUAUUAUGAUAUGGGGUUGGGCAAUUCAUGGACAUGUAGAUAAAGCUCUUAAGUGUUUUGAACAGAUGAAAUUGGCUGGAAUCAAACCUGAUGGAGUUUCUUUCCUUGCUGUUUUGACUGGAUGCUCUCACGCUGGACGGGUGGAUCAGGGCCUUCAAAUCUUUCAUAGCAUGCAGCACGAGUGGUCGAUUGAGCCUACUAUGAGACAUUAUGCUGUAGUAGUAGAUCUACUUGGCAGGGCUGGCCGAUUGGAUGAUGCCUUUAAAUUUAUCGAAAUUAUGCCCUUGGAGCCAGAUUGUGUCAUUUGGGGUGCACUUUUUUCUGCUUGCAGAGCUCACAAGAACAUUGAAAUGGCAAAAAUUGCAUCAGAGAAGCUCCUGCAGCUUGAGCCAAAUCAUGCUGGGGGCCAUGUGUUUCUGUCUAAUGUUUAUGCAGGAGCAGGGAGAUGGGAUGAUGUAGAAAGAGUUAGAAGUUCAAUGAAGAACAAAAAUGUUGAUAAGGAUCCUGGAUGGAGUUCGAUGGAGGUGGAUGGUCAAUUGCAUACAUUUGUUGCUGGUGAUAAUGCUCAUACACGUAAGCAGGAGAUAUACUCGAAAUUGGAGGAAAUUAUUACGGGAGCUAAACAACACGGUUACAUGCCUGAAACCGAGUGGGUGCUUCAUAACAUUGAUGAGGAAGAGAAGGAAGGAGCUUUGGGAAGUCAUAGUGAAAAGUUAGCACUUGCGUUUGGGCUCAUUAGUACUGGUCCUGGUGCGAUCAUUAUGAUUGUGAAGAAUCUUAGAGUGUGUGGCGACUGCCAUUCGCUAAUGAAGUAUGUCAGCAAGAUGAGUCAAAGGGUGAUUGUGUUAAGAGAUAUAAAGAGAUUCCACCAUUUCAAAGAUGGAGUUUGCUCCUGUAAAGAUUACUGGUGAACUACCAGUGACCCAUUUACCAAUGGUUGAUACAAAGGUUGUCCUGUGGAACUACAAACGAGUAAUAGUGACAUAUAAUGGGAAAGAAGUGGAGGAAGAAGUCAAUGAGACCGGAGGAAUGACUCGUUUUGGGAGGUAUUUUACCCCAGAAGAAUUGAGGAAGGCCAAGUCGUUCAAGGACAGCCAAAUGCCAGUAAAGAAGCCGGUCACCGAGGAAGAGGCUGAAGAUUCUUGAAAAAGAUGAAAGUGCAAGACUACUCCAUUGCGGAGCAAUUAAGAAAAACACCGGCUCAGAUCUCUCUAUUGUCUUUACUGAUACAUUUAGAUGAACACCGCAAUACCAUGUUGAAGAUUUUGAAUGAGGCACAUGUUCCUGAUAAGAACAAAGUGAAUCACUUGGAAAAGAUUGCUAGCAAGAUCUUCGAAGCAAAUACGAUCACUUUCUCAGAUGAUGAACUUCCUAUGGAGGGUACAGAACACAACCGAGCUCUUUGUCUCACGGUGAAGUGCGAGGAUUCUGUUGUCACGAGGGUACUGGUUGAUAACGGCUCUAGUGAAACUAUUUCCCCUUUGUCUACUUUGCAAAAGUUGAAGAUCGGCACUGAAAGAAUCCACAUGAAUAGUGUAUGUGCUCGAGGUUUUGAUGGGGGAGGAAAAGAUUCUACCGUGAUAUAAUGCUCGAAUUAUUGAUAGAGCCAGUUGAGUUCACUAUGGAAUUUCAAGUACUAUAUCUGGCCCGUCUCCUACAAUUUGUUGUUGGGCAGGCCCUGGAUACAUGCGGCUAAGGCGGUUCCGUCUUCUCUGCAUCAAAUGGUAAAAUUUGAAUGGGACAGGAAGGAAAUAGUUGUGUAUGGUGAUGAGGACAUAUCUGCUUAUAAUGACCCGAUUGUUCCAUAUAUUGAAGCUGAAGAUGAAAAAGGACCUUGGGUCUACCAAACUUUCGAAACAGUGUCUGUUGAGAAGAUUCCUGAAAGAGAAUGCAUUCCGGGGCCGAGGCUAUCCUCCGCGUCCGUCAUGGUAGCAAAUGAGAUGUUGAAGAAUGGUUUUGUGCGGGGUAAAGGUCUGGGUUCAGCUCUAUAGGGUAUUGUGCAUCCAGUGUGCCCACGUGAAAACUUUGGUACAUUUGGUUUGGGAUCCACGCCCACAGAGAAGGAUGUAAAAAGGGCUAAAAAGCAGAAAGAGAAAAUAUGGUCGCUCCCCAAGCCUGUUCCACACAUCUCCAAGUCUUUUAUCAAGCCAGGGGGUCCCCAAAAUGUCCAAUAUCAUCGGUCCCGAAACCUGUAGUUGAUGUUGAUGAAGAGUUGAAUAGCAAAUUGAUAAUGUUUUUCUCAUCUAAAAUCUGUUUUCGCUACUCAAUAGCUUAAGCAUUAAAGUAAUAUGAGAACAUCAACAACUAUACCUUAAAGCCAAACUAUUGGGAUUGACUACAUGAAUCCGGUAUAUAUAUUUCAUGCAAUAGUUUCUUUAAACAGGCAGAAAACACAAAUAGACCAACCAAACCAAUUGGAUUAUUGCCAAUUUAUUUAAGUUUACUGUUUUUUGACCUCUGAAACUUUUAUUGAUAAAUAUGUAAGUAUGUGUUAUUCACAAAAGCACCGAGGCUGCUAGGCUACAAAUAGGAACUUUCCUUUCCUGGCAAUAUUUUAUGUUGCCAAUAAAUUUAUGCAUGAAUGCAAUAGUAACCUUAAAUGCCCAGUCGCUUUUUGGUCUCUGAUUUUCGCGAUUGGAGGAAAUGCGUCGGUGAUACUCUCCUUUAUCAGAGGUUGUUUUAGACUUCUGUAGAAGAAGAGAGAAGGUAUGGAAGUGGUCCCGAGUGUCUCUUUUGGAGUUUAAAGCUGGAAUGUGAUGAUUGGACAUUCCAAGGGGAAGAAAUGUCAUUGACAAGUUCAUUUACUGAUUUAUCUGAACAUGCCUUGUGUGCACAAAUAUAGUAAAUUGCGCAUACCUAGAGCUUAGCCAUGUGCUGUCCUUUCGUUUUCUCUAGUGGGAUAGCCACUUCUUUGUGCUGUUGGAGCUCUUACACAAUCUGGAUUUAUUUAUGACGAGGUUGGUGCAUUAAUCGAAACAGCCAAGUUGACUUAUUUUUUCUUUUUAAAAAAUAGUGCACCAGUUUCCUUCUGUUCUGAAGUUAAUGAUCCUUGUCUUCUUUAUUGGCUUCAUUUCUGUCUUAGACUAUUAGUCAAAUUGCUUUCCUGCUAAUGCAGGAAAGAAUACAAGUUGGCGAAGAGCUACUUGGAGAGAUGCUGAUUAAGGAAUAAAAUGAAUUAAGUGGGAAAGAUAAGGUCAGGAAACCUGAAGGAUUGGAUGAUGUGGUUUCUGCAGUCUCCUUCCCACUACUCUUUGUUCCUCGCAGGUGGUAGUCCACAGUUCAGAAUGGUGCGUCAGCGCAUGCAUCUCAAAGUAGAUACUCUUUUCAUGGGCACACUGAAUUUCUAGUGGGUUCUCGAUUGCUGACACUGAUGGCAUCCAGGGAAAAUUUGCAGCAGACAGUAGCUAAAAUUUGUGA